rnacentral:rRNA from 1 species
AUACGAAGGGGGCUAGCGUUGUUCGGAUUUACUGGGCGUAAAGCGCACGUAGGCGGAUUGACAAGUUAGGGGUGAAAUCCCGAGGCUCAACCUCGGAACUGCCUCUAAAACUGUCAAUCUCGAGACCGGAAGAGGUGAGUGGAACUCCUAGUGUAGAGGUGGAAUUCGUAGAUAUUAGGAAGAACACCAGUGGCGAAGGCGGCUCACUGGUCCGGUACUGACGCUGAGGUGCGAAAGCGUGGGGAGCAAACAGGAUUAGAUACCCUAGUAGUCC